GUAUACAAUCUGCCUUGUACUGGGGGAUAGCCUUUAGAAAUGAAGAUUAACACCCCAUAAUAUAUUUAGGCUGCAUGGUUUUUAUAUUAAAGGUUACGGUACAAGAUGAGUAUGCGUCCUAUUAGCUAGUUGGUAUGGUAACGGCAUACCAAGGCAACGAUAGGUAGGGGCCCUGAGAGGGGGAUCCCCCACACUGGUACUGAGACACGGACCAGACUCCUACGGGAGGCAGCAGUGAGGAAUAUUGGACAAUGGGGGGAACCCUGAUCCAGCCAUGCCGCGUGCAGGAAGACUGCCCUAUGGGUUGUAAACUGCUUUUGUACGGGAAGAAACCGCUCUACGUGUAGAGCCUUGACGGUACCGUAAGAAUAAGCAUCGGCUAACUCCGUGCCAGCAGCCGCGGUAAUACGGAGGAUGCAAGCGUUAUCCGGAAUCAUUGGGUUUAAAGGGUCCGUAGUGGGCCGGCCAGUCAGAGGUGAAAUCCUGCAGCUCAACUGUAGAACUGCCUUUGAUACUGCCGGUCUUGAAUCGUUGUGAAGUGGUUAGAAUAUGUAGUGUAGCGGUGAAAUGCAUAGAUAUUACAUAGAAUACCGAUUGCGAAGCAGAUCACUAACAGCGUAUUGACACUGAUGGACGAAAGCGUAGGUAGCGAACGGGAUUAGAUACCCCGGUAGUCUACGCCGUAAACGAUGGAUACUAGCUGUCCGGCUUCGGCUGGGUGGCUAAGCGAAAGUGAUAAGUAUCCCACCUGGGGAGUACGUUCGCAAGAAUGAAACUCAAGGAAUUGACGGGG
rnacentral:rRNA from 1 species